UACAGAGGGUGCAAGCGUUGUUCGGAAUUAUUGGGCGUAAAGGGAGUGUAGGCGGCUUGUUAAGUCUUCUGUGAAAUCUACGGGCUCAGCCUGUAACGUGCAGAGGAAACUGGCGAGCUUGGGUGUCGGAGAGGAUAGGGGAAUACCCGGUGUAGAGGUGAAAUUCGUAGAGAUCGGGUGGAACACCAGUGGCGAAGGCGCCUAUCUGGCUGACAACUGACGCUGAGACUCGAAAGCAUGGGGAGCAAACAGG
rnacentral:rRNA from 1 species